ACCCUAUUAUUUAAAAUGUAAGAAAAAAAUCUAAGGUAGUAGUAGUUAUGUUCUUGAAACUUAAAAAAUUUGGCGGUAUUUUAGUCUAUUCAGAGGAAUCUGUUCUGUAAUCGAUAAUCCACGAUGGACCUUACUUAAGUUUGUAAUCAGUUUAUAUACCGUCGUUAUUAGAAUAUUUUAUAAGAAUGUUAAUUUUCAUAAUUUUUAAAAAGAAAAUAUAUCAGAUCAAGGUGUAGCUUAUAUUUAAGUAGAAAUGGAUUACAAUAAAAUUAUUUAUACAGAUUUAAAUAUGAAAUGUUUAUUGAAGGUGGAUUUGAUAGUAAAAUUAUAAAGAUUAAUAAUUUGAUUUUAGCUCUAAAAUAUGCACACAUCGCCCGUCACUCUUACUAUUAAGGUAAGAUAAGUCGUAACAUAGUAGAUGUACUGGAAAGUGUAUCUAGAAUGC
rnacentral:rRNA from 1 species